UCUCUUUGGGGAUCUUUGGAGACUCCCAGGAGCCUGUCCUUCUGAACAAGGACGUCCCUGCUGAGUUCAGCAGGUUCAGGGGUCUGGCUCUUGGUGAGGCUUCUCAGCAUCCAUGCCCGGAAAGAGAGAGACUUAAAAGCCAACCAGACACAGGGAUGCCGGCUAAAGUAAUGAGGAGUAUCCGGAUUGGUUCGGUCACAACGUGUGCACAGACCCAGACUGGUGGAGUUCUCUUGGGAAAGGAUGGGAGACCGACUGUUUGGCAAAGGCUGAGCAAUUCCAGACUAUAUACCCCCUUCAUCAUCUGGACCAGGCCUGCAAGGAUUUCUGCACCUUCCACUGUCAGCUCUACACACAUAUUCAGCUGGAAGCAGUUACAGAAGAAGAGAUCUUCGCCCUCUUUUUCCUUAGCUAUUGGAAGGAGGGGUGGGGAAAUGUAGUGGUAACCUGGUGGGCCUGAGUCUAGUUGGGGAUACUCAGGCCUAGAAGAGGUCAAUUAGAGAUUACUCUUUCCUUGGAUAAAGUUGGGAAACAGUUGUAUUUGCUAUUUAAAUUUGCUUUGUAAAAGGUUCUAAUAGGGGUACCUGAGGUCAAAGAUGAAAAUUGCUAAGUGAAUGGACACUGGGAGCACAUCACUGAAAUUAUAAAGAGGUUUUUAAAUCAUAUUUGUUGUUAUAAUAUUGGUAGUUAUUGACAUGUAUAUGGUAUAUUGGGAUAAUUAAUUAGACCCCAAUUUACCUCCUGAAAGAUGCCUAUGGGACAGGAUUAGGUAUUCAUUUGUAAUUUUGGAGUUCUCCUUAUACUUGUCCCUGUUUAGUCCCUUGCUUUAUAGGUUUGAUACAACGUGCAGUUCAACAGAUGCAGCUGAUGGUGACUCAGCAGUUCACUGAGAAAAGAUUAAAGACCCUGAUUCUGAAACUUCACGAAGGAGAGACUGGUGAUGAGUUGGACUUGGACUGAUGGGCUGAAAUCCUGCAUGGCUGAAGGGCUCAAUGACAGUGACUCAAAUCCAGAAUAUGCUCUCUGAGCAUAAAAGAAAAACGGAGGAUUGUAUGAUAUGAUUAUGGAUUUGAGUCAGAUUAAACUCUGACCAUGGGGUCUGGAAGGUACCCAGACCUGCCCCAGUAUAGUUUGUUAGAAGUUUAUUGCUUGUCAAAAUUCUCACUGU